UGCCUGCUUCUGUGUGAUAUGUUUGAUAUUGGGUUGUUUAAUUAGGAACCAACUAAAUGUCAAACAUUCUUACAGCAGCAGGUG
rfam:Nomascus leucogenys chromosome 12, whole genome shotgun sequence.